rnacentral:rRNA from 1 species
CUUGGCGACGAUAGCGUUUUGGACCCACCUGAACCCAUUCCGAACUCAGAAGUGAAACGAAAUAGCGUCGAUGGUAGUGUGGGGUUUCCCCAUGUGAGAGUAGAACAUCGCCAGGC